AACGUAGGGGACAAGCGUUAUCCGGAUUUACUGGGCGUAAAGCGCCCGUAGGCGGCUUAACAAGUUGGAUGUGAAAGCUCCCGGCUUAACUGGGAGAGGUCAUUCAAAACUGUUAGGCUAGAGGAUGGAAGAGGAGAGCGGAAUUCCCGGUGUAGUGGUGGAAUGCGUAGAGAUCGGGAGGAACACCAGUGGCGAAAGCGGCUCUCUGGUUCACACCUGACGCUGAGGGGCGAAAGCGUGGGGAGCGAACCGG
rnacentral:rRNA from 1 species